GACGAACGCUGGCGGCGUGCUUAACACAUGCAAGUCGAACGGAAAGGCCCUGCUUUUGUGGGGUGCUCGAGUGGCGAACGGGUGAGUAACACGUGAGUAACCUGCCCUUGACUUUGGGAUAACUUCAGGAAACUGGGGCUAAUCCCGGAUAGGAGCUCCUGCUGCAUGGUGGGGGUUGGAAAGUUUCGGCGGUUGGGGAUGGACUCGCGGCUUAUCAGCUUGUUGGUGGGGUAGUGGCUUACCAAGGCGUUGACGGGUAGCCGGCCUGAGAGGGUGACCGGCCACAUUGGGACUGAGAUACGGCCCAGACUCCUACGGGAGGCAGCAGUGGGGAAUAUUGCACAAUGGGCGGAAGCCUGAUGCAGCAACGCCGCGUGCGGGAUGACGGCCUUCGGGUUGUAAACCGCUUUCGCCUGUGACGAAGCGUGAGUGACGGUAAUGGGUAAAGAAGCACCGGCUAACUACGUG
rnacentral:rRNA from 1 species